GAGUUUGAUCAUGGCUCAGAACGAACGCUGGCGGCAGGCUUAACACAUGCAAGUCGAACGCCCCGCAAGGGGAGGUGGCAGACGGGUGAGUAACGCGUGGGAAAGUCUACCCAGUUCUACGGAACAACUGAGGGAAACUUCAGCUAAUACCGUAUACGCCCUACGGGGGAAAGAUUUAUCGGAAUUGGAUGAGCCCGCGUUGGAUUAGCUAGUUGGUGAGGUAACGGCUCACCAAGGCGACGAUCCAUAGCUGGUCUGAGAGGAUGAUCAGCCACACUGGGACUGAGACACGGCCCAGACUCCUACGGGAGGCAGCAGUGGGGAAUAUUGGACAAUGGGCGCAAGCCUGAUCCAGCCAUGCCGCGUGAGUGAUGAAGGCCUUAGGGUUGUAAAGCUCUUUUCAGUGGGGACGAUAAUGACGGUACCCACAGAAGAAGCCCCGGCUAACUUCGUGCCAGCCGCCGCCGUAA
rnacentral:rRNA from 1 species